rnacentral:tRNA from 1 species
UUUGUCUGUGUAGAUUAUAUAAAAUCAUGAUGCUGUUAACUUCAGGAAA